UUAAUACAUAAGCUUUUGUUUACAAUUCUCAGCAUGAAUUAUUCAUCACUUCUCCCUUUGUUUAUGAUGGCAUCUAAAGGUAGUUGUUGGAAACUAUUAAACUCAGUGAACAUGGUAUGUCGAUGAUAAUAAUAUGGCUGUAGGCUGCAGUGUAUGUAGCCAGUAGGUAUACACCUGGGAUUUUUAAGUAAAGGUAUGUAAUGUUUAUAUAUCAUUAAAAUUAGUCAUUUAUAUUUAUUUCUUAUUGUUUUCUGUAUGUAAAACUAAAGUUAUUCUCUAUAAAAUGUAUUUUUUGUUAAUAUUUUUGGGUGUCUGAAACGGAUUAAUUGGAUUUGCAUUAUUUCUUAUGGGAAAUAUUACUUCGGUUUUCGGCCAUUUCGGAUUUUAGCCAACCUUCUGGAACAGAUUAAUUACGAAAACUGGGGGUCUACUGUGUGUAUUAUAAUGUUAAAUUAUGAUUAGAUUUCAUUCUUAAAUCUGCCCUAAAAUAAGAAUUUUCUCUAUAGGUAACCAGAAGAGCAGCCUUUAUAUGAUGUCUGCCCAAUGCAGACUUUCUUGGCCCAUUAGUUUAUAUUUAGCUAUUUCUGGAUAUAUGUAAAUAUUAUUUAUUUGGUCAUUUAACUUAAAUUUCUUGGUAGUUAUGGCUCAUUUGCUCAAACCCGUUCAGAGGAAAAUAGAUUAAGGCUUAUAUAAAAGUUGUCAGAGAGCAUAUUUAUUAAUUGUUCAUAAGUAGAAUAGUUAUUUAUCAGGACUUCCUUAGAUGUGCAGGAUCACUGUAUAUGACAAUGGAAAUGUUUCUUUGGUAAAUUUAAAGUAAUUUCUUGGUUUAACUGUAUAGUACAAUAUAUCCAUAUGUGGUUCUGAAAGAACUAUUAAAACUGGUACAGUAUAUAGAUGGUCAUUAUUUAUUACUACUUACUCGUAUGUGGUGUAUUAAAGUGUUAUGAUGUUGAAUGCUUACUGAGUUUAUUGUUUCUAUUGAGAAAAAGGUGGUAAAGUAAGGGUAGCUGUGAAUGAAUCAAUGAUAGGGUCCCCUUGCCAUUAUUGUGUGUUAAGAGGAUCUUCUGUUUUUUCUCGGUGCACUUGAGAAAAAUACAGUAAUGUUAAUGUAACUUUAUAUUCUCUCUGGAUAAUAUAUUUGGUACUUCUAUAUAAUGUACAGGAACCAGCUAAAUAGUAUUGUGGUUGAUAAUUGCUUUACAUUUACCAUAAAUGUAUUUCAAACAUCUUAGAAGUAUUUAAAGUUUUUGAAUACCAGUACUACACUGAUUUGAUUGAGUGAUCCACUACAAACACCACUUGUCACAUUCUAUACAGUAUGUAGCAUGACUAAAGAUAACAAUGUUGCAACUAUUAACUUUGGUAUAGUAAUGUUAUUUAGAACUACUUGAUAUAGUGAUAUAUUAACCCUUAAACUGCUGAAGGGUCUACAACAAAUGUGCCUUCAGUCCUGGUGAUUUUGAAAAAAAAAAAAUUACAUUUUUAUCUUACCCCAAAAAAAAAAAAUUCCCUUAUUUUGGAAGUGCAGUAAGUGAAGAAUGAGUGGUCUGAUUACUAUUUAAUGGAGAUAUGAAGGUUUGAAGGUGACAUUUGUGUUCGUUUUGUGGCAACAUGAGUUAUUUGCUGUGUGAAGGAAGUUGCUACGUUUUAAAUUUUUGGUACUUUUUUUUUCCAAUUUUUUCUAAUUUUUCAUGGACCAUGAAUUUUCAUAUCAUGUUUCACUUAUAUUUAUUGUUCAGUCAGAUUAAUCCAAUGUAAACAAUAAAAACAUGUAAACCUAUAUAAAUGUCAUACAAUUUAUUGGUUUCCACAAUGCCCUGCACACAAUGCAAUCUUUUUAUAUUGCACACACCUAUUGCACAGACCUGCUGUCUCUGAUGUAGUCCUAACCAGGCCAAUUGGCACCAUUUUGGAGGUCCUAGAAUUCUGUGAUAAAUUUAUGUCAUCAGCAGUUUAAGGGUUAAGUAGAUGUGCUACAAAAUGUUCACCUGCUAAGACAAAAUUGAAACAUUACUUAUAUAUUCAUCUUCUAGAUAUUGCACAUAAUUAUCACCUUUACAGAUGCCUAAUAUAAGGAGGAAGAAAUAAUGUUAUUUGAUCAAGUUUGCAAUGCUGACUGUAUCAAAAGUGGAAAAUAUAGGACUGGCUGGAGAGCUGGGAGUUUCUAAAGAAAGAAUGUGGUAAAGAUAGAACGGUAUUCCGUACGAUGUAUUUUAUGUGAAAUUUUUGGAGAUAUUUAGUUAAAUUUCUUGAGGAGACUUCAUUUAGUAACAUUGCUGAUUAUUUUUUACAGUUGUUUUAAAAAUUAUCCUGUAUGACUGAAAAUCAUUGAUUUAGCUGUCAACAAUGAAAGGGCAUAUUCACUUUUCAGCUAUUGAAAGUUUACAUGGAGUAAUCAUGAAUUUCAGUGUUAUUUAAUGUAGUUGCUGUCAGUGCACAUAGAAAUUUCAACAGUUUAAAAAACAGGUUUGGCAUGUACUGCAUUGUAAUUUUCAAUAAUGUUUCCCAAGCAAGCAGACUUCAUUCCUGGAUGUAAAAUAGAAAAAUAGAAAUGUGCAAUCCUAUCAGAACAUUAUUUUAGUAAAUGUUAACACAAUUACAUAGUUUGUUCAAUUUGUUUUAUAUACAGUUUAUAAAUAAAGAAGUAUUUAAAUUUUAUAUUUCUUAAGCAAGAUUUUGAUAUUUACAAAAAGAGUAGUUGAUCCUGGCAUCUAACUUACAAAUCAAAUGGGUUGUAUUAAUUUUAAAAGCAGUUUACAGUCACUUAUUCUAAAUGGGCAUAAUUUGCAAGCUCAUGAAAAAGGCUACAGUAAUGAAGCACUAUAUGAAUGACCACACACUACACAGUACUAACUUACUGACCUAACUACAGUUUUCCUUUAACUUGUGCAAGUCAGUUAACUUUGAAAGGUAUGACAAGUAAUAAGUCUUGUGAAAUGGAAAAUUAAAAUAAUGUGGUUAUAAGGAAUAGAUACAGUAAUACACACACACACACACACACACACACACAAUAUAUAUAUAUACAUACAUUUACACAUAUGCACAAUAGUUUGUUAUUACUAUUACUGUUUAGUUGGUGGCUGAUGGCUGUCAUGCACACAGUAAAGUAUAUGACACACUAGGUUAUUGCAGAAGUCGAAGACACAUUGUUCCUCUUAAUAUCACAUGUAUAUGAGCAAAGGUGUUGUGAAUUUUUUUUCUUUUAAUUAUAAUAAUAUAAUUUCUUAUAGGAAAAUUGUGCUAUAUGCAAAUAAAGUACUGUUGUCUUUUCAUUGUCAAUGAGACAAUGGAGUAUUAGGUUUGAUAAACUUUGGCUUAAAUCUGUACCUUAUAGGUAGAAUAAAACCUUGAUUUAGUGGACUAAUGGUGGGGAGAUUGUCUGAUCACAUAUGACUGCAGCUGGUAAGACACUAAGAAAACCCUAAAUACAGGACAGUAAGAAAAAAGGACAAUUCUGUACCCAGUGAGUUGUUUCUGAAAUCUGUUAAAUGAAGGUCCAUUAAAUGAAGUUUUUUCUUUUUUACUGUAUUUGAAGGUGUAACAUUUGUUUAGAGCACAAUCCAUUAUACAGAAGGAAUGAUGCUGACAAUUUUCAAGUAUGAUGAGUCUAAUGUUGCACUGAAAAGGGAAUUUUUUGUUAUGUGCUGGGUUUCAAACCAUGUUUUUUAGGCCAUCAUUAUUUAUUGUAAUAUUUUUAUGUUUGAUCAGUUAUAUUUUGUCACACAGUAUGAUUUCUGUUUUCUUAUGAAACUCUUCUAAUAAUUAAGAGAAUGUACUUAUUGUACAUACUAUAAUAUUUAAGAAUGUAUUAAAAAAACAGUUAAUAUUUGUUUUUAUGAUCUGAAAAUGGACUAUCCAAUUACACCAGUUUGUGUUAGAGAUUUAGCAAAAAUAUACAUAAGUUUACUAAAAUGGAGUACUUUUUAUUAUUUACUGCUAUAUAAUAUUGCACAAAGGUUAAUUUUCUACUUGCAUUGUUGCAAGUAACUUAAUACUGAUACAGUGCAAUCUCAGUAAUCCAGAGUUUUACUGGUUCCUCUUUGCAUAACCACAUCUUGGUUGACAAUAAAUUAUCAUCCCAAUGAAGGUAUACAGUAUUGAAAACAUCAGGAAUUAGACACAUACAACACCUGGGUACCUUUAUUUGAAAAUGUUUUGACAACCAGUGGGUUUUUUAAUUCCAUACAAAAAUGACAGAGACUGACAUAGGCAAAACAGACACACAGAUGCAUGCAUGCAUGCAUGCCAACGCACAAAUAUGUCAAGAGUACAUCAAGAAAUUAGAGGAAGUGCAAAGGUUUGCAACAAGACUAGUCCUAGAAAUAUGGGGUAUGCCCUAUGAGGAAAGGUUUAGGGAAAUCAACCUGACAACACUGGAGGACAGGAGGGAUACGAGGAGCAUGAUAACAUAAAAUACCAGGAAGAAUUGAUAAGGUGGAUAUGGACGGGAGGUUUCAGAGAUGGGACACAGCAACAAGGGGUCACAACUGGAAGUUGAAAACUCAGAUGAGUCACAGGGAUGUUAGGAAGUAUUUUUUCAGUAAUAGAGUUGUCAGAAAGUAUGACAAUCUGGAGAGUGAUGUAGUGGAGGCAGGAUCCAUACACAGCUUUAAGAAGAGGUACAAUACAACACAUGGAGCAGGGAGAGAGUGGACCUAGUAGUGACCAGUGAAGAGGCAGGGCCAGGAUCUGUGACUUGACUCCUGCAACCACAAAUAGGUAAGCAUGCAUGCACACGCAUACAUGCAUGCAUGCACACACACAUGCAUGCAUGCACACACACACACACACACACACACACACACACACUAGCAUGAGGCCAGGAGCUGUGAAUUGACACCUGCAGUUACAAAUAGGUGAAAAUAGGUGAGUACACAUGUACACACACCUACACACCAGUAGCGGCCAGUGAAGAGGCAGGGCCAGGAGCUAUGACUUGACCCCUGCAACCACAACUAGGUGAGUACAUAUAUGUGUUGUAUAUGUAUAUGUCUCUGGUCUUUGUACUGAAUUGAAAAAAAAAAGACACUGGAUGGAAGAACAUCUUCAUUGUUUGAAGAAUUGUUCAUAAUGAUUACACUCAUGGCAAAAUAAUCUCAUCUGUAUCCACCACAAUUGCCAUUAUCUGCCACCUGUUCUCUCCUAAUUUUUAAUCAUUUACUAGUGUUAAGUUGUCCUAGUUUUUAAGAUUUAAUCUGCCAGAAAUGCUCUGCAUAAUCAGUUUCAUGAGGACCUGACAAUUAGUUUACUGGAUUGUUGUAGAAAUUUAAGUUGUGUCAUUACACCUGAUGCACACAUGGUAAAAAUAAAAUAAAAACAGUAAAAAAAUCAUAUUAUUUCUUUUUUUUUAAAGGUUUACUUCUUUUUCUGAUUUUUAAUGGCAAAAUUAUUUAAAUACAAGAGUGAGUGAAAGUGAUGAGGGAAGAGGUUACAAUGGGAGGGUAAAAGCUCAGAAAUAUGUUUUUGCAUAUUUUUGGUAGGAGUAUGUGUUUUUAAAUAAUAAUAUUUAUCAAUUUGCAUUUAAAACUAAAAUAUGUAUUUCUGUUAACAUAGAUAUAUACAGUAUGUUUUUCUUUACUUUGUUAAAUCAUAGCCUUACAUCUUAUAAUGUUUGUGUACAGUGCAUCAGUGUACAUGAUUUAAUUGUAAAAUAUUUGUACUAACUGAGGUUAAUGUAAUAUCUCUCACAACAUCACAUUACUGCUGUAACUGUUACCAUGUGACAGUUGCCACAUCUUGUUACCUGCAAAAUUUUCUGUUGCAUCAUAUUCAGUAUUAAAUAAACAUAAAAUGUCACCUUUUCUUCAUAAGUAUCUUGGCAGACAUGUACUCUGCUAGCAAAAGAGCACUUGCACAGUGUUUGGAAAUUGCAGUGAUGCAAGAGUGCACUUAUGCCCAGUCAUCCCUAUACUGUAUGUGAGUGUACAAUACAUUAUUAUGUAUCUAUAAUCUGGUAAGUUCUUUGGUUUGAAAACUACAGUGGAACCUCAGUUUUCGUGAUUAAUUCGUUUCAGAAAGUCUGAUGAAAACCGAAUUGUACGAAAAGUGAAGCAAUAUUUUCCAUAAGAAAUAAUGUAAAUCCAAUUAAUCCAUUCCAAACACCCAAAAAUAUUAACAAAAAAUACAUUUAUAGACAAUAACUAUAGUUUUACAUGCAGAAAAACAAUAAGAAAUAUAAAUGACUAAUGAAAUGGAUAAAUGAACAUUUAACAUCACUUUUACCUUUACUGAAGACUCUUCUUGGUGUAUGGAAGACGGCGAGGAGGGGAGAGGGAGGAGGAGAGGUUACUGUUUGAAAGGGGAAUCCCCCUCCAUAAGGACUUCAGAUAUCAAGGCCCUAUCUGGUGUUACUUCCCUUCUUUGUCUUUUACUGACAAUAGGACCAGCUUGAGAGUCACUGAACCCCUAUUGCACAAAAAAUCUGUCCUGAGAGGCCUGUUUCUGGCCUCUCUGUAAGAUUUGCCUAAAAUGGGACAAGUCAUUGUCAUUGAACAUGUUGCAGACAUGGCUUGCAACAGCUUUGUUAGAGUGAUAUUUCUCCACAAAACUCUGCAACUCAUUCCACUCUGCACACACUUAGGCCUGGUCACAGACCGGGCCACGGGGGCAUUGACCCCCGGAACUCUCUCCAGGUAAACUCCAGGUAAACACAUGUCCUUAAUCACUGACUGAAGAAAUACUUCCCAACAUCCCUCUGACUCGUCUGGAAACUGAAGACUCAGACGAGUCAGAGGGAUGUUAGGAAGUAUUUCUUCAGUCGUAGAGUCGUCAGGAAGUGGAAUAGCCUAACAAGUGAUGUAGUGGAGGCAGGAACCAUACAUAGCUUUAAGACGAGGUAUGACAAAGCUCUGGAAGCAGAGAGAGAGAGAGAGAGCACCUAGUAGCGAUCAGUGAGGAGGCGGGGCCAAGAGCUGAGUCUCAACCCCUGCAACCACAAUUAGGUGAGUACUGAAGAAGGCACAUUCUCCCCUCUCUCUCUUCCUCCUCUGAAGCAAUUUCCUCAGCUGCAGUAUGUUGCUGUUCUAGUUGAAGGCCUUGCAGCUCUUCAGUGGUUAGCUCUUCCCUGUGGUCAUCCACCAACUCUUCCACCUGGACACUAUCUCCCACUAACUGUUUUUCAUUGAUCCACACCAACAAAAACUUCUCAACAUCUUCGAAUGUUUGCGAUCUCUGUUUCGUUAGCACAUUUAUCCUUUUUGCAACAUCAGCUUCCUUAAUUUCUUUUUUCUUCACCAGGAUGGAACUGAUCAUUGUUGAGGACUUCCUGCGCAUCCUGGCGAGAUUGGCCACACAUACACCACUUUCGUACUUUGCUAUGAGUUCUUUCUUGAAUUCUGUCGUGUUUCUCGCCUUCUUUAUCAAAGGGCUGGCACUCAGAACUUUCUUUGGCCCCCAUGGUGGCUUAUUCAGUAGUCGCACUCAAUAAACAAGCACAAAAAACAAUGAUUACAAAAUGUUAUCCGAACAUGCAGGGUAAUGUUCACUCAAUGAGAAACAAUGCCAGACCGAGUCAGAGUGUGUGGAAUGUUUUCUGUGGGUGCAGGCAGGCAGACACAUCUGGUACAGACCAUUGUCAACUCUAUGAAAAUCGAGCGGAUAUACGGAAACUGGGACAAAAUUUAGACAAAAAAAGUCAGUGCAGGCAGGCAGACACAUCUGGUACAGACCAUUGUCAACUCUAUGAAAAUCGAGCGGAUAUACGGAAACUGGGACAAAAUUUAGACAAAAAAAGUCAUCGAAAACCGAAUCCUACUAAAACCAUGGCAUACGAAAACCAAGGUUCCACUGUACUUGGCAAUGAAGGUUCUGGAUUAUCAAGAUUGUGCAGUAUUUGUGCAGCAGAACAAUAUACAUGUACAAUACUGUAUAUAACACACACAUGCUCUUGAUACCUUCAAUUAGGAACAAUGUAAUCCUUAUAAUUAACUUGUAAUUACAUCCACUGUAUUUGUUCAUUCAUGCAACUAUUAUAUGGUAAUUUUUCUGCUUUACCAUAGAAGAUGUGUGCAGUAGUUAUUAUAUUUUUCAUGAAAACUCAUAAGAGCAGCUGUAUUUACCUAACCCUUAAACUGUCCAAACGUAGAUCUACGUUCGCCUACGUGGCACUCCGAAUAUUUUGAAAAAUAAAAAAAUCGAUUUUCGUUCUUAAAUUAAAGAGGGGUACUUUCUGUGUGGUAUAAGACCAAAAAAAAAAAAAUUUUUAGGACCAGUACUUACCGAGAUAUAAGACUGUGAAGUUGGCUCUGGAUGCUCACCUAACGGCAACAUCCAGUCCUGCCGCUUGCAGGUGUUGCCGAUUUGCCUUUUUUCUCGUUUUUAUUUUAAUUUAUAUAAUUUUUAUGUUCUGAUAAUUACAAUUUAUAAUAGUUCUUGUGACUUCAUAGCCAAUCUUUGUUCUGAUACUAAUAUUAUGUACUAAAAUAGUACUCAAAUUUAUUUAUUUAUUUAUUUAUUUAUUUUGUGUUAGUACUCAAAUUUAUUUAUUUAUUUAUUUAUUUAUUUUAUGUCUUUGCAAACAGUACAUUGAGAUUUUGUAUUUACAAUAGUGGGUUGCAAUGCAAAGAGAGCCUCUAUUAUGCCUAGGCAUUAUGGACCAACUUAACAUUAUUGGCUUACAGACUACUUAACACUAAGGAUUAUAUCAUAGUUGUACAGUAGGAUAGUAAUUAUUUCAUAGUUGUACAGUAGAUUAUUAAUUAUAAGUGAAUCAUAAUUUGUAUAAGACAAAAGAUUUAUUCAUAUAUUCAAAAAUGCUUUUUGUGAAAACAAUGAUUGAAUUAUAUUCCUGUCAACAAUGGAUAAAAGGUUCAAAGUGAUUGUUGAAGUUAUAAUGUGGGAGUACAUAAGUGAGUAAAUGUGUACUGAGUAUUUAGCAUUUAGUCUAGGGUGAUUAAGUGGCUUUUGAGAAGAGUCUUAAAUUGAUUUUCACACUGACAGGUGAACAUUUUUACCUGCCCUGGUCAUUUACUAUUGUCUAGAAAUAUAUACAAAGUAUUUAUAGAUCCCAGCAAUGUUUUAGACACGCUGGAGUAUGAACCUCCUUGAAGCAUGGUGUUAUGCUAAGGGUCAGAAUGUGCCCUACUGGAGGGGAAACCUUGCCUUUAUAUGUUUUUACUCUUGCACACAAACAUGUCUCUGUAUGUCUGUCUGUCAAUCUAUCUGUUUGCCUGACUGUCUGUCUGCCUGUCUGUCUAUCUGUACAUCUAUCUGUCUGUCUAUCUGUACAUCUAUCUGUCUAUCUGCACAUCUAUCUGUCUGUCUAUCUGUCUAUCUGCACAUCUAUCUGUCUGUCUAUCUGUACAUCUGUCUAUCUGUACAUCUAUCUGUCUGUCUAUCUGUACAUCUAUCUGUCUAUCUGCACAUCUGUCUGUCUGUCUAUCUGUACAUCUGUCUGUCUAUCUGUACAUCUGUCUUUCUGUACAUCUAUCUGUCUAUUUGCCUAUCUGUCUGUCUGUCUAUCUGUCUGCCUAGUUCAGCUUAUCUGUCUUUCUGUCUUCUGUGUGUGGCUGGAGUGUAAUAUGAGCUCCUUGAAUAAUUGUGUUAUGACAGCAUUGAAUAACAGUGACAUUUGAUGAAUGUGCACUGCUGGAGGGGGAACCUUGCCUUUAUAUGUUUUCACUCUUGCACACAAACAUGUCUCUGUAUGUCUGUCUGUCUGUCAGUCUGUCAGUCUGUCUAUCUGUCUGUCUACCUGUACAUCUACCUGUCUGUCUAUCUGUACAUCUAUCUGUCUGUCUAUCUGUACAUCUAUCUGUCUGUCUAUCUGUACAUCUAUCUGUCUGUCUAUCUGUACAUCUAUCUGUCUAUCUGUACAUCUAUCUGUCUGUCUGCCUAGCUCUGCUUAUCUGUCUGUCUAGUUCUGCUUAUCUGUCUUUCUGUCUGCCUGUGUGUGUCUGUCUUUCCAUCUGCUUGUCUCUGUCUCAGGGAGUGGCUAGUAAACCUGUUGGUUUGCGGUGUAUGUGCGGCUUCCUGAUUGCUGAGCAAGUGACACUGCUAUUAUUUGUUAUGUCUUACAUCUACAAACACUGUAUAGCACGUGGCCUGAAAUUUCUGGGUUAUCCUAGGUAAUUUACAUUAUGUAUAAUAACUGUAUUUAUGAGUACAUGUGAGAGAGAGAGAGAUACAAAUAGGCAGUGAUAUAGACAGAGAUAUAGACAGAUAGACAGAGAUAUAGACAGAUACAGACAGAGACAGCCAAAGCUAGCCAGCUAGCCAGCUGAAUAUAUAAGAACAUAAGAAAGAAGGAACACUACAGCAGGCCUACUGGCCCAUGCAAAGCAAGUCCAUGUCACCCCCAACUUAGACCAAUGGCCCAUGACCCACCUAGUCAGGUCACAUCCACUGAAAGAAGGAGCACAACAUCUGACUUAGUAGCACAAGCUAGUCAGGUCCAACUCACACCCACCCACAACCACUCAUGCAUUUAUCUAACCUAUUUUUACUUUCCUCUUAAAAUGUGAGUGUUAAUAUGACAUAACAUCAGUGAAUCCCUGGUGUUUGCCCCAAUAUUUGCUCUAGCUGGCGCUCAGUUGAACUGGUGCUCCCACAAGGUACUGAGUGCUCCCAGAUCUUUUUCAUAGUGUGCACACUGAGUGCACAGACCCAUUCUUUCAUGUCUAGGCGACUCAGACCUAUCGCACCAAAUUUGAAGGAAUGAAAAAUUAAACAUUGAUCUACGUUCGGAGUCUGCCGCACAUGAACGUAUAUCUACGUGUGGACAGUUUAAGGGUUAAGUACCUUCCACAGCCUUAGAUAUAAGGAUUUAAAGUAGUGAACUUUUCUGCUUCUGAUUAGCACAUGUAUACUAAUUAGCAAAGUUUUCCAAAAGCAAAACCUAAAAACUUGUCUUAAUUUUUGAGACUCUAGGCAAAUUAUAAAUUAGUGACCUGCAUUUGAGUGCAAAAGUCACACACCAUUUAGUCCUUAGAGAUUAUCAAAAAAAUAUUACAAUAUGGUUUUACUUUACUUAUUAUUUGAGAAUAUUUAAUGUAGAAUUUGUUCAUGUAUUCUACUUAGACAAAUAUUUGCAUUCUUUAAUAUUCUUUUUCACAUCUAAAAAUACUGAAGUCCUUAAAGAAAUUAAAAAUAUUUUUUGACCACAUGUGCUGCCUGCCACCAAGGUAAGGUGAUCCAAGAAAAAAAAGAAACAUUCACACCAUUCAUUCAAUAGUUCUCUUGCCAGGAGUGUGCAGGCAUCACAAUUCAAAUAAACCUCUAGCUGCAACAUUCCCACUCCUUCAGAGUGCAGGCACUGUAUUUUCCACUUCCAGGACUCAAGUCAGGGUAACUAUUUUUCCUGAAUCCCUUCAUAAAUACUACCUUACUCAAACUCCAGCAGCAUAUCAAAUCCCUAAAACAACUUGUCUCCACCUGCCAAGAUCUCACAUGCUUACUCAUACAUCUGCUUGAUGCUCAGGUCCCUAAUGAAUAAAUACACCAGCUACUCCAAAACUAUAUCUCCGAAUGUUUUUAACAUCUUAGUCUUAAGGUUAAUCCUAUCUGUCCCAGCUGCUUUACCUCCUUUCAUUCUACCCAUUGCCUCAUGUAUUUUCCCCACAUUCACCACUGAUCCUUCCUAACUUCUUCCAGAUAUUAUUCCUUUAUACUCAGGCAUAUCACCACCUCCCUUUCAUCAUCAACAAUUAACAAGUCCUGAAAAUACUCUCAGAAUCUGUCCAAUAUCUCCUUCUCCCCAUCCUACAUCUCCUCUCUUUAAUUUUUAAAAGGCAAGUCCAUUUCCCCAGAAAUGCUCUGCAUUCUCUUUUUCUCUCCAUAUACCCUGCCCUCCACGUAUCAUUUUUAUAAUGUAAAAACUGUAGCAUACUAACUUUUUUCUCCCUUGUUACCUUCCUUACCUCAUCAUUUCUAUCCCUGCCUACACCCACCCUUCUAUAACCAGAAACUUCUGCUGUUCAUUAUAGCAUAAUAAUAUACAAUAACAUUUGGUAUGUAGAAAAAGGAAAAGUCUAUACCAUAAUAAGAGGGGACAAUUUAUAUAAAAAAUUCAUAACACCAAUUGACGGAAUACUGUGAUGGCCUUUGUUACAAGUUACCUACUUAUGCAUAUUUACAACAAUGUUACAGUGCUCAGUAGCACUAUGCUAUAUUAUUCUUAUUAUGAGCAAAUCAUUGUAUAAAUGCAAGGUUCUCCUAAUUAGUGAGGUUAGGAUUACACAGGGGCACAAGAAUGAUUUCCCUGAGACCCUUUGAUAUAAAUACUCAUACUGGACCUCAGGAAAUGUUAAACAAGCCAAAUAGCAAAGUUUAAAUUUAUUUUAUUUUUCUUAAAAAAUGCACGAAUUCAUAGCUUUUAAUUUAUUUUUGGGAGCCUUUGAUUAUAAGAGCUUCUCUUCAUUUAUAAGGUAUCUUGUUGAGAAUCACAAUGAACAAGCUUCAAUUUGAGGCCCCUCUUUAUUUUGUAUUAACCAUAGAAUAGUCAGUACUUUUCACUCUGUCCAGGAUACUUAAUAAGUCAGUGCUCCUUGCUGCAGCUGAAUGUAACAAGUUGGUGUUUCUUACUGCAGCUUAAAUAUACACUGCCUAUGAUGCACUGUACUUUAGUCCUUCUUCCUGGAUAUCUUAACUGUCUUAACACACUAAGGGCUACAUCAUAUAUAAAUUAAUUCUAGUUAUUCAUAAAAGAAUACACAUGUUUAAAAAGAGAGAAAAUUACCACACUGCUUGUUAUACUAA